rnacentral:rRNA from 1 species
UCUUGGUCAUUUAGAGGAAGUAAAAGUCGUAACAAGGUUUCCGUAGGUGAACCUGCGGAAGGAUCAUUAUCAAACAUGGAAUAUCUCAUUCUUAAACCCACUCUGAGUACCUGUACUUGUUGCUUCCGUGGGCAGUGAACAGUAUGUUUGCGCCUGCCCAUAUAUGGUGGACCCAUGGGAGAUAUCAUUAAACCCUGCAUUUCAUGAUGCCAGUCUGAUCAUGUUUAUUCAUUAAACGUUAAAACUUUCAACAACGGAUCUCUUGGUUCUCGCAUCGAUGAAGAACGCAGCGAAAUGCGAUAAGUAGUGUGAAUUGCAGAAUUCCGUGAAUCAUCGAAUCUUUGAACGCACAUUGCGCCUCCCGGCGUUCCGGGAGGCAUGCCUGUUCGAGCGUCAUAAAGAAAAACCUCAAGCUUNGAAUUCAUUCAUGACUUGGUAUUGGUAUUGGGGUGGACUCGAGCCAUUCCUAUCCGAAAUUCAAUGGCAAGGUUGUCUGUACCAACAAGUGUAGUAAUCGACAUUAUGUUUCACCGUUGUACGGAUCAACAUUCGCCGUUAACCCCUCAUUUCAAGUGUUUGACCUCGGAUCAGGCAGGGAUACCCGCUGAACUUAAGCAUAUCAAUAAGCGGAGGAA